UACGUAGGGAGCAAGCGUUGUCCGGAAUCAUUGGGCGUAAAGCGCGCGUAGGUGGCCCUGUAAGUCCGUUGUGAAAGUCAAAGGCUCAACCUUUGAAAGCCGAUGGAUACUGCAGGGCUAGAGUACGGAAGAGGCGAGUGGAAUUCCUGGCGUAGCGGUGGAAUGCGCAGAUAUCAGGAGGAACACCAAUAGCGAAGGCAGCUCGCUGGGACGUUACUGACACUGAGGCGCGAAAGCGUGGGGAGCGAACAGG
rnacentral:rRNA from 1 species